CCGUUAAGAGGUCGUUAAAGAUUCCAAAGUAUGAAUCUGACCAUCCAGUUUGUCUGGAUGUCGAGUGGCUCCUGCCUACUCUGUUUGACGCCUCCCUGUUGACCUUCACGAGCCGCCUUUGGCGGCUCUUUUUUU
rnacentral:sRNA from 1 species